rnacentral:rRNA from 1 species
GUCGAGCGAACAGACGAGGAGCUUGCUCCUCUGACGUUAGCGGCGGACGGGUGAGUAACACGUGGAUAACCUACCUAUAAGACUGGGAUAACUUCGGGAAACCGGAGCUAAUACCGGAUAAUAUAUUGAACUGCAUGGUUCAAUAGUGAAAGACGGUUUUGCUGUCACUUAUAGAUGGAUCCGCGCCGCAUUAGCUAGUUGGUAAGGUAACGGCUUACCAAGGCAACGAUGCGUAGCCGACCUGAGAGGGUGAUCGGCCACACUGGAACUGAGACACGGUCCAGACUCCUACGGGAGGCAGCAGUAGGGAAUCUUCCGCAAUGGGCGAAAGCCUGACGGAGCAACGCCGCGUGAAUGAUGAAGGUCUUCGGAUCGUAAAACUCUGUUAUUAGGGAAGAACAAAUGUGUAAGUAACUAUGCACGUCUUGACGGUACCUAAUCAGAAGGCCACGGCUAACUACGUGCCAGCAGCCGCGGUAAUACGUAGGUGGCAAGCGUUAUCCGGAAUUAUUGGGCGUAAAGCGCGCGUAGGCGGUUUUUUAAGUCUGAUGUGUAAGCCCACGGCUCAACCGUGGAGGGUCAUUGGAAACUGGAAAACUUGAGUG